CGGGAAGCCAGCAGAAGAAAAAAUAGCGCCAGUUCCAGCCGAAGUAGCCCCUCAGCCAUGGCGGCCUCCGCUGCGAUGGCAGCCGCGUCCAGUGUCGGAGCUCUUGUCGGUGCUCCCGGCCCCAAGCCCAGUACCGUUGAUGUGCUGGGCGGUGUUCUUGAUUACAGUUCCUUGGGUGCAGCGGCUGCUGUGGCCGCAGUCGCAUCAUCUCUACCACCCACUGCCGGGGGCACAGUGAAGAUCGGCAAGGGCAGCAGCAGCGGGAUCAGUUCCAGCUCCAGCUCCGGCUCCGGCAGCAGCGGAUUUGAUAUGGGCAGGCAUCCAAUAUCGACGCACAGCAGCAGCAGCAGCAACAACAGCUCGACGGGCUACGGCGGCCGUUUGCAGUUCUUUAAAGAUGGCAAGUUUAUAUUGGAACUGGCACGCUCCAAGGACGGCGAUAAAAGCGGUUGGGUUUCGGUAACGCGCAAAACCUUUCGCCCACCCUCCGCCGCCACCUCGGCGACUGUGACGCCGACAUCGGCCGUGGCCACAGCCUAUCCAAAGAACGAGAAUUCCACAUCGCUGAGCUUUUCGGAUGACAACAGCUCGAUACAGUCCUCGCCGUGGCAGAGAGACCAGCCUUGGAAGCAGUCCCGUCCCCGUCGAGGCAUCUCCAAGGAACUAUCGCUGUACUACCGCCGCCCCAGGCACAGUGUGCUCGGCAAGGCCGCGCUCCAAACCGCUAUUCGCAAGCGCCGACGACCCCAUGAGCCACUUGCCGGCAGCGAAGAACCUAUCUUCGAGUCAGUGGCCAAGACGGACAGUGGCGACGAAACGCUUAAGGCAGACGCCACCGAGGCUGUUGAAGGUGGUGGUGGAGCAUCUGCGGCGGACGCGUCUGCAAAUGAGAUUAAAACUGAGGAAUCAGAAUCGAUCAAAGCCGAGGAGGAAGAUGGCACAUUGCCGGUAAAGGACGUCCAACCGGAGGUCAAGGAGAAGGCCGAGUCAGAAGCAGUUUCUCCCAAAGCAGAGCCGGAGGCAAAGGAUGAGACUGUCGAGAAGAUGAACACGAGCGAGGACGACGAAGUCACGGCUGGAGCAAAGCCCGCUAACGGCGACCUCAACGGUGAUUUGAAGCCGAAGCUUGGCAGAAAAAACAUGGCGCCAAAGCCGAAGGCGCGGGCCAAGCUGAGUAGCAUUAUCCAGAAACUGAUCGACGGCGUCCCAGCACGCCUGGAGCAAAUGUCCAAGACACCCAUGACGACAGCCGGUGCGACGGGAACGGCAGCCGCGGAGCGAAGCGGAGGUGGUGGGGCCGGGGCAAGCUUGAACCACUCUUUGUUGCACAAGGUUUCGCCGCCCUCGUCUGCAGCAGCAGCCAGUCGCCUGGUGGAGUACCAUCACCAGCAUGUGUCGCCCCGAAAACGCAUCCUGCGCGAGUUCGAGAAGGUUUCGCUGGAGGACAAUGGAUGCGCGAACAAUGGCAGCGGUGGCAGUGGCGGGAGCGGCGGAGCAGGUGGCAAGCGAAGUCGCGCCAAGGCAUCGACAUCGUCUCCCGCUGGCAAGUCGGCGCCAAUUAACUUGGCCCCGCCCCAGGGAAAACCCAGCCCCAGUACCAGCUCCUCCAACACCUCGCCAGCUGCACCGGCGUCGGCAGCGCCACCAACUCGACUGAACAGCUCUUACAGCAUCCACUCGUUGCUGGGAGGGAGUAGUGGUAGUGGCGGCUCGUCCUCAUCCUCCGCCUCGACGAGCGCCUCGAAAAAGAACAACGACCAUCCGGCGGCCAUUAUCAGCAAUGUGCAUCAGCCGCAUCACUCCCUGUACCAGGCUAGCUCCUCGAGCUAUCCCCCCAAGUCACCGGACAUGAGCGGCAGCAACGGAGGCGGAAAAUCACCCUCUCAUGCCGGAGCAAAGAAACGUUCGCCACCGUACUCGGCAGGAUCACCGCUGCCCGUGGAUUAUGGCCACGCGUUCUACAGAGAUCCCUAUGCCGGAGCAGGUGUGGGUCGGGCGGCAUCGCAGGACCUGUCGCCGCCACGUUCCUCGUCAGCCUCGCCCGCCACCACGCCGCGCACCGUGCCCAAGAAGACUGCCUCCAUCCGGCGCGAAUUCGCCUCUCCCUCGGCUAGCAGCAGCAGCUGCCCGUCACCGGGUGACCGGAGCGCCUCGCCGCCAGAUAGACGACUCAUGCAACAGCAGCAGCAGCAGAUGCACUACUACAUGUACCCGCCCCCGCCGCAGGUGAAUGGAAAUAGUUCUGGUGCGACUCCCAGCACAGCACCGGCUGGCAGUGCCGGUGCCCUGCACGCUGCUGCGGCUGCAGCAGGCUACAUUCCUUCGGUGGCACCCCCAUCCAUGUACCAUCCGUUCAUAUCAACUCUGGCAGCACUGAGGCACACUCCACUGUGGAUGCACCACUACCAGGCGGGAGGAGCGCCACUAAUGCCACCACAUCCGCCGGCCUUUGCCUACAAUGGAGUGGGCGCCGCUGCAAUGGCAGCUGCGGCAGCCGCUGCUUUCGGCCAGCCCGCUUCCAGUCCACACACGCAUCCCCAUCUGGCCCAUCCCCACCAGCAUCCGCAUCCGCAUACGCACCCGGCCGCAUUAACCGCCCUCCCCCAUACAGUUACCCCCGCUCAUCUGGCCACGCCAAAACUGACUGAUAGUAGUAGCGAGCAAAUGUCUGCAGCGUCCAGUCAUCGCACCGCCUCCACUUCGCCGACCAGCUCGAGUGCAUCCGCCUCCUCAGCGGCGGCCGCCGCCGGCGCCAGCUCCUCAGCAAUGUUUCAUAAUAGUAGCCUAAGGAAUGAACAAAGUUCAGACUUACCACUGAAUCUGUCAAAGCACUGAGACACACACGCCCCAGCUGCCCCAGUUUCUGGGCCACCAUCGAGUUAAGUACAUUACCGCACUAGUAGCGCUUAAGACGACAUUCAAGUACACCCUAAGCCUAAUCGUAGGUACUUGCUUAAGGCCGGAUUUUGAAAAAGUAACCAGAAAAAUACCAGAAUUACGAAGAAAACUGAUCAACUCAAGCAACCAUGUUCUAAUCCUGUUCCGAACGAACCUUUUUACACAAUCAGUUGAGUAAUGGAAUUUUCGACAAAAAACAUAUUUAAUAUGCAAAGGAAUUUUAUUCUAUGACUUGUACUUGUCUUGAAGAAUCUCAAACGAAAUAAAAUAAAGAGAGAGUUA
rnacentral:misc_RNA from 1 species